CUUGCUCUUGGCUGUCGAGUGGCGGACGGGUGAGUAACGCGUGGGAAUCUACCCAGUAGUGGGGGACAAGCCAGAGAAAUUUGGUCUAAUACCGCAUACCCUUUUAAGGAAAGGUGGCCUCUAUUGAUAAGCUAUCGCUAUUGGAUGAGCCCGCGUAAGAUUAGCUAGUUGGUGGGGUAAAAGCCUACCAAGGCAACGAUCUUUAGCUGGUCUGAGAGGAUGAUCAGCCACAUCGGGACUGAGACACGGCCCGGACUCCUACGGGAGGCAGCAGUGGGGAAUAUUGGACAAUGGGCGGAAGCCUGAUCCAGCAAUGCCGCGUGUGUGAAGAAGGCCUGAGGGUUGUAAAGCACUUUCAAUUGUGAGGAAGGGGUUAAGAUCAAUACCCUUGACCCUUGACGUUAACAUUAGAAGAAGCACCGGCUAACUCUGUGCCCAGCAGCCGCGGUAAUACAGAGGGUGCGAGCGUUUAUCCGGAAUUACUGGGCGUAAAGCGCGCGUAGGCGGCUAAUUAAGUCAGAUGUGAAAUCCCUGGGCUCAACCUAGGAACUGCCUCUGAAACUGGUUAGCUAGAGUUUAGAAGAGGGGAGUGGAAUUUCAGGUGUAGCGGUGAAAUGCAUAGAGAUCUGAAGGAACACCAGUGGCGAAGGCGACUCCCUGGUCUAGAACUGACGCUGAGGUGCGAAAGCGUGGGUAGCGAACGGGAUUAGAUACCCCGGUAGUCCACGCCGUAAACGAUGUCUACUAGUUGUUGGUCUCCUUGAGGGAUUAGUAACGCAGCUAACGCAUUAAGUAGACCGCCUGGGGAGUACGGUCGCAAGACUAAAACUCAAAGGAAUUGACGGGGGCCCGCACAAGCGGUGGAGCAUGUGGUUUAAUUCGAUGCAACGCGAAGAACCUUACCAUCCCUUGACAUCCAGAAAAUUCAGCAGAGAUGCAGAAGUGCCUUCGGGAAUUCUGUGACAGGUGCUGCACGGCUGUCGUCAGCUCGUGUCGUGAGAUGUUGGGUUAAGUCCCGCAACGAGCGCAACCCCUAUCCUUGGUUGCUAACAGGUAGAGCUGAGAACUCCAAGGAGACUGCCGGUGACAAACCGGAGGAAGGUGGGGACGACGUCAAGUCAUCAUGGCCCUUAUGGGAUGGGCUACACACGUGCUACAAUGGUCAGUACAGAGGGUCGCAACCCCGCGAGGGUGAGCUAAUCCCACAAAGCUGUUCGUAGUCCGGAUUGGAGUCUGCAACUCGACUCCAUGAAGUUGGAAUCGCUAGUAAUCGUAGAUCAGAAUGCUACGGUGAAUACGUUCCCGGGCCUUGUACACACCGCCCGUCACACCAUGGGAGUGGGCUGCAAAAGAAGUGAGUAGACAAACCUUCGGGAAGUCGCUCA
rnacentral:rRNA from 1 species